GAUGAACGCUAGCUACAGGCUUAACACAUGCAAGUCGAGGGACCGGCGCACGGGUGAGUAACCCGUAUCCCACCUGCCCUUUACUCGGGGAUAGCCUUUCGAAAUAAAGAUUAAUACCCGAUGUAAAGGAUGGGGAUGCGUUCCAUUAGGUUGUUGGUGAGGUAACGGCUAACCAAGCCUUCGAUUGAUAGGGGUUCGGAGAGGAAGGGCCCCCACAUUGGAACUGAGACACGGUCCAAACUCCUACGGGAGGCAGCAGUGAGGAAUAGUGGUCAAUGGGCGUUAGCCUGAACCAGCCAAGUAGCGUGAAGGAUGAAGGCUUAUGGGUCGUAAACUUCUUUUAUAGAAGAAUAUGUAUUAUAUGAAUAAGGAUCGGCUAACUCCGUGCCAGCAGCCGCGGUAAUUC
rnacentral:rRNA from 1 species